UGGGGAAUAUUGCACAAUGGGCGAAAGCCUGAUGCAGCGACGCCGCGUGAGGGAUGACGGCCUUCGGGUUGUAAACCUCUUUCAGUAGGGACGAAGCGCAAGUGACGGUACCUGCAGAAGAAGCACCGGCUAACUACGUGCCAGCAGCCGCGGUAAUACGUAGGGUGCAAGCGUUGUCCGGAAUUACUGGGCGUAAAGAGUUCGUAGGCGGUUUGUCGCGUCGUUUGUGAAAACCAGCAGCUCAACUGCUGGCUUGCAGGCGAUACGGGCAGACUUGAGUACUGCAGGGGAGACUGGAAUUCCUGGUGUAGCGGUGAAAUGCGCAGAUAUCAGGAGGAACACCGGUGGCGAAGGCGGGUCUCUGGGCAGUAACUGACGCUGAGGAACGAAAGCGUGGGUAGCGAACAGG
rnacentral:rRNA from 2 species